rnacentral:rRNA from 1 species
GACGUAGGGCGCGAGCGUUGUCCGGAUUUAUUGGGCGUAAAGAGCUCGUAGGCGGCUUGUCACGUCGGAUGUGAAAGCCCGAGGCUUAACCUCGGGUCUGCAUUCGAUACGGGCUAGCUAGAGUGUGGUAGGGGAGAUCGGAAUUCCUGGUGUAGCGGUGAAAUGCGCAGAUAUCAGGAGGAACACCGGUGGCGAAGGCGGCUUUCUGGACGGUAACUGACGCUGAGACGCGAAAGCGUGGGGAGCAAACAGG